AAUCAUAAUUGCCAAUCAAAAUAGCAAUUACGCUUUAGCUUACGCUUAAGCGCGUCCUCUCGGUGAUUUCUACUAACCGAAUCAGGGCGUCAUUAGUAGGAUAAGGCGCUGUCGCUUUUUACAUGUUUCGGCGAUAGCGCUCGAAAAACACAAAAUAGGUAACAGGCUAUUUUGCCACGCUCUACUCUGUUACUAAAAAGCGCGGCUAAACUUGUAGUGCAAUUUUAAAUCAUUUUCCAGACUGGGGUUCAACUCCCCACACUUCCACAG
rnacentral:tmRNA from 1 species